ACUGCCCCUAGAGGCAUUGUAGGUGUGGCUGCCAUGUUGCACCUGCGUCAUUAGGUGGCAGAGAGCAGAGAGGCUUGCCUACGCCCAGCAUCCUGGCUGUGGGCGCCUGGAUGGUUGACGGCCUGGCACU
rnacentral:snoRNA from 12 species